rnacentral:rRNA from 1 species
UUCAAUUGAAGAGUUUGAUCAUGGCUCAGAUUGAACGCUGGCGGCAGGCCUAACACAUGCAAGUCGAGCGGUAACAGGAAAGCGCUUGCGCUUUGGCUGACGAGCGGCGGACGGGUGAGUAAUGUCUGGGGAUCUGCCCGAGGGCGGGGGAUAACCACUGGAAACGGUGGCUAAUACCGCAUAAUGUCGCGAGACCAAAGUGGGGGACCUGAAAGGGCCUCG